rnacentral:rRNA from 1 species
GGCAGCCGCGGUAAUUCCAGCUCCAAUAGCGUAUAUUAAAGUUGCUGCAGUUAAAAAGCUCGUAGUUGAAUUUCGGGAUCAAUAUGUUGGUCGUGCCUUGGUACGUACUAGCCCAUUGGUUUCUCCCUUCUGACGAACCAUGAUGUCAUUAAUUUGAUGUCAUGGGGAAUCAGGACUGUUACUUUGAAAAAAUUAGAGUGUUUAAAGCAGGCUCGCGCUUGAAUACAUUAGCAUGGAAUAAUGAAAUAGGACAUUUGAUUCUAUUUUGUUGGUUUCUAGGAUCGAUGUAAUGAUUAAUAGGGAUAGUUGGGGGCAUUAGUAUUCAAUUGUCAGAGGUGAAAUUCUUGGAUUUAUUGAAGACUAACUACUGCGAAAGCAUUUGCCAAGGAUGUUUUCAUUAAUCAAGAACGAAAGUUAGGGGAUCGAAGACGAUCAGAUACCGUCGUAGUCUUAACCAUAAACUAUGCCGACUAGGGAUCGGAUGAUGUUAAUUUUUUAAUGACUCAUUCGGCGCCUUACG